UACGGUAGGGGGCUAGCGUUGUCCGGAAUCAUUGGGCGUAAAGCGCGUGUAGGCGGCCCGGUAAGUCCGCUGUGAAAGUCGGGGGCUCAACCCUCGGAUGGCCGGUGGAUACUGUCGGGCUAGAGUGCGGAAGAGGCGAGGUGGAAGUUCCUGGGUGGUAGCGGUGAAAUGACGCAGAGUAUCAGGAGGAACACCGGUGGCGAAGGCGGUUCUCCUGGGCAUUACCUGACGCUCGAGGUGACGAAAGCUAGGGGAGCGAACAGG
rnacentral:rRNA from 1 species